rnacentral:rRNA from 1 species
GAUGAACGCUAGCUAUAGGCUUAACACAUGCAAGUCGAGGGGAAACGGCAUUAUGUGCUUGCACAUUUUGGACGUCGACCGGCGCACGGGUGAGUAUCGCGUAUCCAACCUGCCCUUUACUUGGGGAUACCCCGUUGAAAGACGGCCUAAUACCCGAUGUAAUUCAUUGAUGGCAUCAGAUAUGAAUAAAAGAUUUAUCGGUAAAGGAUGGGGAUGCGUCUGAUUAGCUUGUUGGUGAGGUAAUGGCUCACCAAGGCGACGAUCAGUAGGGGUUCUGAGGGGAAGGUCCCCCACAUUGGAACUGAGACACGGUCCAAACUCCUACGGGAGGCAGCAGUGAGGAAUAUUGGUCAAUGGGCGCAAGCCUGAACCAGCCAAGUAGCGUGCAGGAAGACGGCCCUAUGGGUUGUAAACUGCUUUUAUACGAGAAUAAUUUGAUGCACGUGUGCGUUAUUGCAUGUAUCGUAUGAAUAAGGACCGGCUAAUUCCGUGCCAGCAGCCGCGGUAAUACGGAAGGUCCAGGCGUUAUCCGGAUUUAUUGGGUUUAAAGGGAGUGUAGGCGGUUUGUUAAGCGUGUUGUGAAAUUUAGAUGCUCAACAUUUAACUUGCAGCGCGAACUGUCAGACUUGAGUACACGCAACGUAUGCGGAAUUCAUGGUGUAGCGGUGAAAUGCUUAGAUAUCAUGAAGAACUCCGAUUGCGAAGGCAGCAUACGGGAGUGUAACUGACGCUUAAGCUCGAAGGUGCGGGUAUCGAACAGG